rnacentral:rRNA from 1 species
AGUAAUGUCUGGGAAACUGCCUGAUGGAGGGGGAUAACUACUGGAAACGGUAGCUAAUACCGCAUAACGUCGCAAGACCAAAGAGGGGGACCUUCGGGCCUCUUGCCAUCGGAUGUGCCCAGAUGGGAUUAGCUAGUAGGUGGGGUAACGGCUCACCUAGGCGACGAUCCCUAGCUGGUCUGAGAGGAUGACCAGCCACACUGGAACUGAGACACGGUCCAGACUCCUACGGGAGGCAGCAGUGGGGAAUAUUGCACAAUGGGCGCAAGCCUGAUGCAGCCAUGCCGCGUGUAUGAAGAAGGCCUUCGGGUUGUAAAGUACUUUCAGCGGGGAGGAAGGCGUUAAGGUUAAUAACCUUGUCAAUUGACGUUACCCGCAGAAGAAGCACCGGCUAACUCCGUGCCAGCAGCCGCGGUAAUACGGAGGGUGCAAGCGUUAAUCGGAAUUACUGGGCGUAAAGCGCACGCAGGCGGUCUGUCAAGUCGGAUGUGAAAUCCCCGGGCUCAACCUGGGAACUGCAUUCGAAACUGGCAGGCUAGAGUCUUGUAGA